GAUGAACGCUAGCGGCAGGCCUAAUACAUGCAAGUCGAACGAUAGUUGGGGCUUGCUCCAACGAAAAGUGGCGCACGGGUGCGUAACGCGUAUGCAACCUACCUUAUUCAGGGGGAUAGCCCGAAGAAAUUCGGAUUAACACCGCAUAAAAUCACAGCUCAGCAUUGAGUAAUGAUCAAAUAUUUAUAGGAAUAAGAUGGGCAUGCGUGUCAUUAGCUAGUUGGCGGGGUAACGGCCCACCAAGGCGACGAUGACUAGGGGAUCUGAGAGGAUGACCCCCCACACUGGUACUGAGACACGGACCAGACUCCUACGGGAGGCAGCAGUAAGGAAUAUUGGUCAAUGGAGGCAACUCUGAACCAGCCAUGCCGCGUGCAGGAAGACAGCCCUCUGGGUCGUAAACUGCUUUUAUUCGGGAAUAAACCUUUCUACGUGUAGAGAGCUGAAUGUACCGAAGGAAUAAGGAUCGGCUAACUCCGUGCCAGCAGCCGCGGUAAUACGGAGGAUCCAAGCGUUAUCCGGAUUUAUUGGGUUUAAAGGGUGCGUAGGCGGCUUAUUAAGUCAGGGGUGAAAGACGGUGGCUCAACCAUCGCAGUGCCUUUGAUACUGAUGAGCUUGAAUGAACUAGAGGUAGGCGGAAUGUGACAAGUAGCGGUGAAAUGCAUAGAUAUGUCACAGAACACCGAUUGCGAAGGCAGCUUACUAUGGUUUUAUUGACGCUGAGGCACGAAAGCGUGGGGAUCAAACAGGAUUAGAUACCCUGGUAGUCCACGCCCUAAACGAUGAAUACUCGCUGUUAGCGAUACACAGUUAGCGGCUAAGCGAAAGCGUUAAGUAUUCCACCUGGGGAGUACGCCCGCAAGGGUGAAACUCAAAGGAAUUGACGGGGGCCCGCACAAGCGGAGGAGCAUGUGGUUUAAUUCGAUGAUACGCGAGGAACCUUACCCGGGCUUGAAAGUUAGUGAAUGAUUUAGAGAUAGAUCAGUGAGCAAUCACACGAAACUAGGUGCUGCAUGGCUGUCGUCAGCUCGUGCCGUGAGGUGUUGGGUUAAGUCCCGCAACGAGCGCAACCCCUAUGUUUAGUUGCCAGCACGUUAAGGUGGGGACUCUAAACAGACUGCCUGUGCAAACAGAGAGGAAGGAGGGGACGACGUCAAGUCAUCAUGGCCCUUACGUCCGGGGCUACACACGUGCUACAAUGGAUGGUACAGAGGGCAGCAAGCUGGCAACAGCAAGCAAAUCUCAAAAAGCCAUUCACAGUUCGGAUAGAGGUCUGCAACUCGACCUCUUGAAGUUGGAUUCGCUAGUAAUCGCGUAUCAGCAAUGACGCGGUGAAUACGUUCCCGGGCCU
rnacentral:rRNA from 1 species